rnacentral:rRNA from 1 species
AACGUAGGUUCCGAGCGUUAUCCGGAUUUACUGGGCGUAAAGCGCGUUCAGGCGGUUUGGCAAGUCGGGCAUGAAAUCCCUCGGCUUAACCGGGGAACUGCGCCUGAUACUGGAUGGCUUGAGUUCGGGAGAGGGAUGCGGAAUUCCAGGUGUAGCGGUGAAAUGCGUAGAUAUCUGGAGGAACACCGGUGGCGAAGGCGGCAUCCUGGACCGACACUGACGCUGAGGAGCGAAAGCCAGGGGAGCAAACGGG